GCGAAGUGCUCUUCCGCCCUACAUUAUAGUUAUAAUUUCUUAUUCGCUUAGAAAAUUGCCACGUUUUAUUUUGUGCCACCAUACUUACUCGUGUAACUACUCAAUGUAACCGUCUUUAAAUAGGGAAAACGUGGAUGUUUUUGGUUGCUUCUAAUUUAAUCUCCGUUUGGAUCCUAAGGAAUGAAUGGUGCUAAGCUAAAUGCUAACAUAGUGGUGCCGCGCUACAGCGAUUAAGUGCAUGCACUGAGACAGGAGAGGAACACAGCUGGUGGUCUAAUGGAGGGCUGGACUUGGAACCCAGUCAGCAGUUUACUUAAGCUUGAAGUUCUUCCAAAAACUGGCCUGUACUUGUCUGAAAAUGGACACCAGCUUGUGAGGAUGGAGAGACAUCAUAAAGUUGCAUGGACCACCUUCAAAUUGAAUACAAUAUGUUUUUGAUUUACGCUGUAAAUAUGACUAUGUAACUAGUACUUGGAGUAUGAUAUAUCUUUUCUCCUUUUGGAAGACUUCAAUGUUGAGGUGAAUAUUGGCAUGCUUUGUAAAAUGAUCUGAGGCAUAGAAAAGUAAGUUAAUUAGACUGCAGGGUUUAAGUGCUUUCAUGGCAGAGGUUUUGUACUGAUGCUACUAAGAUAAGAUAGUAAUGGAGUAUUACAAAUGCAUAAAUGCAUGCAACUUAGCUGACACUGCAUCAAUAAAUCAAUCCUAUUGGCUUUCACAUUAUAUGACAUUCUUAGAAUACAAGAGGUAUAUACAUGAUGAAUUUACAAGCUUUAUAUUCAGCACUGACAAGUGGAAGAGACCCACGUAAAUUUUUUUUCCCUUUUGCAACAUUGGCAGUAUUAGCCAAAAUUAGGUUCAGUUUAAAGCAGCAUGACUACUAAUAAUGCAAUAAUCACAGACAGUGAAGUCUUUACGUAUUCUUGUACUGUGAACUGUAAGCUGAAAAGUAUCUUAUUAGAGGUUUUGUUUCAGAACAUUAUGGUAAUUGAUAACUUAGAAAAUGAAGAUGCACUUACUAAGGACUCUG
ensembl:lncRNA